rnacentral:rRNA from 1 species
UACGAAGGGUGCAAGCGUUACUCGGAAUCACUGGGCGUAAAGCGUGCGUAGGCGGUUCGUUAAGUCUGCUGUGAAAGCCCUGGGCUCAACCUGGGAACUGCAGUGGAUACUGGCGGACUAGAGUGUGAUAGAGGAUGGUGGAAUUCCCGGUGUAGCGGUGAAAUGCGUAGAGAUCGGGAGGAACACCAGUGGCGAAGACGGCCAUCUGGAUCAACACUGACGCUGAGGCACGAAAGCGUGGGGAGCAAACAGG